rnacentral:rRNA from 1 species
UACAGAGGGUGCGAGCGUUGUUCGGAAUUACUGGGCGUAAAGCGCGCGCAGGCGGCCUUUAAGUCCAUCGGUGAAUGCCGGGCUCAACCCGAGCUUGCCGAGGAUACUGGGAGGCUGGAGACACGUAGAGGCAAGCGGAAUUCCGGGUGUAGCGGUGGAAUGCGUAGAGAUCCGGAAGAACACCGGUGGCGAAGGCGGCCUGCUGGGCAGUAGCUGACACUGAGGCGCGACAGCGUGGGAGCAACAGG